UACGUAUGGGGCGAGCGUUGUCCGGAAUCAUUGGGCGUAAAGGGUACGUAGGCGGAUAAGCAAGUUAGAAGUGAAAUCCUAUAGCUCAACUAUAGUAAGCUUUUAAAACUGCUCAUCUUGAGGUAUGGAAGGGAAAGUGGAAUUCCUAGUGUAGCGGUGGAAUGCGCAGAUAUUAGGAGGAAUACCGGUGGCGAAGGCGACUUUCUGGCCGUUUUCUGACGCUGAGGUACGAAAGCGUGGGUAGCAAACAGG
rnacentral:rRNA from 1 species